UGGGCUAUACGGAAACCCACCACCAGCCUGCCGAUAUUGUUUUCUCAUGGGUCAACGCACGAGCGGUUUUGGGAGCGAGAGAAAGUGGAACGGGGUCUCGCCGCCCAUGGAGCUCACCGGCGCAGCUUCCCUUCGGCCAUCCAUGGCGUCGAUGUACCCGGUGGUCCCGAGUGAGAGGAGGAGGGGGAUGCCGGUAAGGGUAUCUUGCGUCGUCCGUGGAGGUCCACGUCCACCUUAGGUACUACGAGGCGGCGCCACGGAAAGCAGUGCAGCGGUGGUGAGGGACCAUUACCAAGCUCCAGGCUAUGGGCCUCGUCGCUGGGGACGCACGCAAGGAGAAGACCCUCUUGGUGACCCCUCUCCAUCCCACCUCACCUAUCGCUGUUUAUGCUUCGAAAUUUCAGAUUAAUCACGAGCAUGAUUUACAGAGGGUGGUUUGGAAUCCCGACGACUUCAGGCGAGCGGCGAGUGGUCCCAGUCUCGGUCGCCGUGGAUACUUACCUCAGCGACGGGAGGGGUUGCGGCCGGCGCUAGUGGUUCUAUUCGUGCUGUCAGUGUUCUACACGGGAGAAGAAGAUGUUGUCUCGGCCGGCCUCCACCUCCCAAGACGAGCAUGUACCUCUGGCCGCUAUCCACCCUUAGGGGUCAACAAGCCACGCUGCAACGAGUGGGAAUGCAAGCAUCUAUCUUGCUUUCAUCACCACCUCCAAAGAAUAUAAGUUGAAACUCGAUUCCCACGUCCAUGAGCAUGGAGAGGAGACUCCUGCUCAAAGCAUUCGGCACCGAACAUGUCCUUCCAGAUGCCGUAGAAGGGGUGAAAGGGUUAUUGGACAAAGCUACAGAGAUCUUGAAAAAGAUGCCUAAUUCGUACAUUCACGAAUAGUUUGCCAACCCUGCAAACCCAAAGUAAGGUACAUUAUGAGACUAUUACUGCGAAAACAAAUCUUGGAGGAUUCAAAAGGGAAGGUGGGUAUAUUUAAUGGUGGAAUCGAGAAGGGUGGGAUGAAAUCUGGUGCUGGUCAUUUCCUCACUGAUUAAAUCCUAAGUCAAGGUUAUUUUGUGUUGAGCCUACCAAAGAGAAGAACUACAACAUACUCUCUUGUGAAAACCUGGCACACAUAAGAUUCAGGGUAUUGGAGCAUGAUUUGUUUCUUGGAACUUGGACAAUGAUGUUCUCAAUGAAGCAAUAAAGGCCGAGAUCUCCUCCGGUGCGGCAGCAGCUGCUGCCAUAAGGGUCACUAAGAGACCAGAGAAUGUAGGAACUAUGAUAGUGGUAAUUAAAAUUUUCAGGUGAUAUUCCCGCACUUUGGCGAGAGAUACUUGCCGUCGUUCCAGUUCCAUCUAGAAGAGUGCAAGAAGAAGCAGGCCAAGGCAUGAACUUAUGGAUUAAUUAGGUUCUUUUCUGAAAUAAAAAAUUGAGGCAUUAAACGUUGUUUGCUGGACUAGGACAUAGGAUCCUAUUGAUAUUGAUAUUUAUUGCAAGGAAAACAAUUUGGCUGAGCUUAACAAAAUGGCUAUGUUGGUGUUUUCAAAUGUUUACAUUUGACAUGGUUCUGAUGUUUUCAUGGUAGUACAAAUGAAGAAAGAAAUAGAAGUAGAAUGUGAAUUUUUUCUGUACA